GGUACCGUCAUUAUCUUCCCUAGCGAAAGAAUUUUACAACCCUAAGGCCUUCAUCAUUCACGCGGCAUGGCUGGAUCAGAGUUGCCUCCAUUGUCCAAUAUUCCCC
rnacentral:rRNA from 1 species